rnacentral:lncRNA from 1 species
UUAAUGACUUUCUAAUAAACAAAAUUAAUUAAUUAUAAUUUGAUCAAAUCAACUAUUUUAAUAUAAUAAAAAAAAUAAUCACCAAGAAUCAUUUGAUUUAAACCAAUAUAUUCAAGAUAAUUAAAAUUAAUAAUUAAAAUUAAUUAAUUUAAACAAAUAUCGAUUAAUUAAUUAAAAAAAUGAUAGAAACAAGUGAACCGCAAUGUGCUCAAACCGGUUAGAGCGAAAUGACAAUAUGAUUUGUG